UACGAAGGGGGCGAGCGUUGUUCGGAAUUACUGGGCGUAAAGGGCGCGCAGGCGGCUUCAGAAGUCAGGCGUGAAAGCCCCGGGCUCAACCUGGGAAUUGCGCUUGAUACUCUGAGGGUAGAGUACGGGAGAGGAGAGUGGAAUUCCCAGUGUAGAGGUGAAAUUCGUAGAUAUUGGGAAGAACACCGGUGGCGAAGGCGGCUCUCUGGACCGAGACUGACGCUGAGGCGCGAAAGCGUGGGGAG
rnacentral:rRNA from 1 species